GGCUCGUUGGUCUAGGGGUAUGAUUCCUGCUUUGGGUGCAGGAGGUCCCGGGUUCAAAUCCCGCACGAGCCC
rnacentral:tRNA from 1 species